rnacentral:rRNA from 1 species
GAUGAACGCUGGCGGCGUGCCUAAUACAUGCAAGUCGAGCGAACAGACGAGGAGCUUGCUCCUCUGACGUUAGCGGCGGACGGGUGAGUAACACGUGGAUAACCUACCUAUAAGACUGGGAUAACUUCGGGAAACCGGAGCUAAUACCGGAUAAUAUAUUGAACCGCAUGGUUCAAUAGUGAAAGACGGUUUUGCUGUCACUUAUAGAUGGAUCCGCGCCGCAUUAGCUAGUUGGUAAGGUAACGGCUUACCAAGGCAACGAUGCGUAGCCGACCUGAGAGGGUGAUCGGCCACACAGAAACUGAGACACGGUCCAGACUCCUACGGGAGGCAGCAGUAGGAAAUCUUCCGCAAUGGGCGAAAGCCUGACGGAGAAACGCCGCGUGAGUGAUGAAGGUCUGCGGAUCGUAAAACUCUGUUAUUAGGAAAGAACAAAUGUGUAAGUAAAUAUGCACGUCUUGACGGUACCUAAUCAAAAAGCCCCGGCUAACUACGU